GCCCCGUAAUCGGAAUGAGUACACUUUAAAUCCUUUAACAAGGAUCCAUUGGAGGGCAAGUCUGGUGCCAGCAGCCGCGGUAAUUCCAGCUCCAAUAGCGUAUAUUAAAGUUGUUGCGGUUAAAAAGCUCGUAGUUGGUUCUGCGUGCCGCGCUGUCGGUUCGCCGCCUGUCGGUGUAACUGGCAUGUCGCGGCAUGUCCUGUCGGUGGUGAACGGAGUCCACAAUGCUACAUAGGCUUUAUAGCCGAUGUUAGCGUCGUGUGUACUUCCGUUGGCCGAUCUCUCCUACUUCGGUGCUCUUAAACGAGUGUCGAGGUAGGCCGACACGUUCACUUUGAACAAAUUAGAGUGCUUAAAGCAGGCUAAAAUCUCUGCCUGAAUAGUGGUGCAUGGAAUGAUAAAACAGGACCUCGGUUCUAUUUUGUUGGUUUUAGGAAUAUGAGGUAAUGAUCAAUGUGGACUGGCGGGGGCAUUCGUAUUGCGACGUUAGAGGUGAAAUUCUUGGAUCGUCGCAAGACGCACUAGAGCGAAAGCAUUUGCCAAGUAUGUCUUAAUUGAUCAAGAACGAAAGUUAGAGGUUCGAAGGCGAUCAGAUACCGCCCUAGUUCUAACCAUAAACGAUGCCAGCCAGCGAUCCGCCGAUGUUCCUUUAAUGACUCGGCGGGGAGCUUCCACCCGGGAAACCAAAGCUUUUGGGUUCCGGGG
rnacentral:rRNA from 1 species